GCCCACAAUUCAGCCUACUUAACCACAUGUACACACCACCUAAAAAUACUUUUAAUAAAACAUUUUAUUAGUCAAGUACAGGAGAUCAAAAAACUUAUUAGCGCUUUAUCAUUAGUACCGCAAGGGAAAAAUGAAAUAGUUAUGAAAUAGCCUAAAAGCACAAUACAGCAGAGCUUUACCCUCGUACCUUUUGCAUCAUGAUUUAGCCAGUCCCAAUCAAGCAAAAUGAAAACCCAGUUUGAUCCCCCGAAACUAGACGAGCUACUUUUAAACAGCUUCAUAGAGCCAACCCAUCUCUGUUGCAAAAGAGUGGGAUGAUUUUUAAGUAGAGGUGAAAAGCCUAUCGAGCCUAGAGAUAGCUGGUUACUUAAGAAAAGAAUUUUAGUUCAACUUCAAGUUUACUAAUUUCAUUAACAAAUACCAAAAACUUGAAAGCUACUCAAAUAAGGCACAGCUUAUUUGAUUAAGGAUACAGCCUAUAAAAAAGGGUAAAAAUCACAACACAGACUAAGUGGGCCUAAAAGCAGCCACCUUUAAAAAAGCGUUAAAGCUUCCUCUUAAAACGUAACUUAAUUCCUAAAAACACCUUUAACCCUUUAUCCCUAUUAAGUAAUUUUAUACCAAUAUAAAAGCCUUCAUGCUAAAACUAGUAACAAGAAUUUGACUUUCUCCUAAAUAUAAACAUAAACCAAAAUGGACAAACCACUGGUAAUUAACGUCUAUUCACCCACUAUAACAACACACCAAGAAAACCCUAUAAUGUUACACGUUAACCUAACACAAGAAUAUUCAAGGAAAGAUUAAAAGAAAAGGAAGGAACUCGGCAAACUUUAACCCCGCCUGUUUACCAAAAACAUCGCCUCUUGAUAAAAUAUAAGAGGUCCAGCCUGCCCAAUGAUUUUUUCAACGGCCGCGGUACCCUGACCGUGCAAAGGUAGCAUAAUCAUUUGUCCUCUCAAUAAGGACUUGUAUCAACGGCAUCACGAGGGUUCUACUGUCUCCCUUUUUUAAUCAAUGAAACUGACCUCCCCGUGAAGAGGCGGGGAUUAUAAUACAAGACGAGAAGACCCCAUGGAGCUUUAAACCAAAUAAUAAUCUUUACCUAAAUACUCCACAAAAUUUUAAAGAUCUCACCUAUUGGUUUUAGGUUGGGGUGACCACGGAGUAAAACAAAACCUCCUUGACGAACAGGUCUUAAUCCUAAUCCAAGAGCUACCACUCUAAGAAUCAAAAAUUUGACGUAAAAUGAUCCGGCAACCGAUCAACGAACCAAGUUACCCUGGGGAUAACAGCGCAAUCCAUUUCAAGAGCCCAUAUCGACAAAUGGG
rnacentral:rRNA from 1 species